GUGGGGAAUCUUGCGCAAUGGGCGAAAGCCUGACGCAGCCAUGUCGCGUGGAUGAUGAAGGUCUUAGGAUUGUAAAAUCCUUUCACCGGUGAAGAUAAUGACUGUAGCCGGAGAAGAAGCCCCGGCUAACUUCGUGCCAGCAGCCGCGGUAAUACGAAGGGGGCUAGCGUUGCUCGGAUUUACUGGGCGUAAAGGGCGCGUAGGCGGACAUUUAAGUCAGGGGUGAAAUCCCGGGGCUCAACCUCGGAACUGCCUUUGAUACUGGGUGUCUUGAGUAUGAGAGAGGUGUGUGGAACUCCGAGUGUAGAGGUGAAAUUCGUAGAUAUUCGGAAGAACACCAGUGGCGAAGGCGACACACUGGCUCAUUACUGACGCUGAGGCGCGAAAGCGUGGGGAGCAAACAGGAUUAGAAACCCUUGUAGUCC
rnacentral:rRNA from 1 species